rnacentral:rRNA from 1 species
CGGCAACAGCUCAAAUUUGAAAUCUGGCACUUGUGCCCGAAUUGUAAUUUGUAGAGGAUGCUUUUGGUGCGGCGCCUUCUGAGUUCCCUGGAACGGGACGCCAGAGAGGGUGAGAGCCCCGUAUAGUCGGACGCCUAGCCUCUGUAAAGCUCCUUCGAC